rnacentral:rRNA from 1 species
AGAGUUUGAUCCUGGCUCAGGACGAACGCUGGCGGCGCGCCUAACACAUGCAAGUCGAACGGAGCUUAGAGAGCUUGCUUUUUAAGCUUAGUGGCGAACGGGUGAGUAACGCGUGAGUAACCUGCCCUAGAGUGGGGGACAACAGUUGGAAACGACUGCUAAUACCGCAUAAGCCCACGGUGCCGCAUGACACUGAGGGAAAAGGAUUUAUUCGCUUUAGGAUGGACUCGCGUCCAAUUAGCUAGUUGGUGAGGUAACGGCCCACCAAGGCGACGAUUGGUAGCCGGACUGAGAGGUUGAACGGCCACAUUGGGACUGAGACACGGCCCAGACUCCUACGGGAGGCAGCAGUGGGGGAUAUUGCACAAUGGGGGAAACCCUGAUGCAGCGACGCCGCGUGGAGGAAGAAGGUUUUCGGAUUGUAAACUCCUGUCGUUAGGGACGAUAAUGACGGUACCUAACAAGAAAGCACCGGCUAACUACGUGCCAGCAGCCGCGGUAAAACGUAGGGUGCAAGCGUUGUCCGGAAUUACUGGGUGUAAAGGGAGCGCAGGCGGGAAGACAAGUUGGAAGUGAAAACCAUGGGCUCAACCCAUGAAUUGCUUUCAAAACUGUUUUUCUUGAGUAGUGCAGAGGUAGAUGGAAUUCCCGGUGUAGCGGUGGAAUGCGUAGAUAUCGGGAGGAACACCAGUGGCGAAGGCGGUCUACUGGGCACCAACUGACGCUGAGGCUCGAAAGCAUGGGUAGCAAACAGGAUUAGAUACCCUGGUAGUCCAUGCCGUAAACGAUGAUUACUAGGUGUUGGGGGAUUGACCCCCUCAGUGCCGCAGUUAACACAAUAAGUAAUCCACCUGGGGGAGUACGACCGCAAGGUUGAAACUCAAAGGAAUUGACGGGGGGCCCGCACAAGCAGUGGAGUAUGUGGGUUUAAUUCGAAGCCACCGCGAAGAACCUUACCAGGUCUUUGAAUUCCGAUGCAUAGCCCAAGAGAUGUGUGAAAUCCUUUCGGGACAUCCAAGACAGGUGGGUGCAUGGUUUUCCUCACCUCCUGGCCUGGAGAAGUUGGGGUUAAGUCCCCGAACCGAGCGGAACCCUUUAUUGGCAAGUUACUACCUUUAAAAGGAACCUUGGCGAAGAAUGCCUUUGAAAAACCGGAAGAAAGGUGGGGGAUAACCUCAAAAUUCAAUGGCCCUUUUAAGAACUGGGGCUAACCACGUUUCACAAAUGGCGGUUAAAAAAAAAGAGGAGCCGAACCCCGGGUGUGGGGACAAAACCUCAAAAAACACUGUCUCAGUUCAGAUUGCAGGCUGCAACUCGCCUGCAUGAAGUCGGAAUUGCUAGUAAUCGCGGAUCAGCAUGCCGCGGUGAAUACGUUCCCGGGCCUUGCACACACCGCCCGUC